UCGUGCUAGCUUCUUUUAAUGCAUCCUGAGAGAUGGAAGCACAGAGAAAAGCCAAGUCUCCAGCCUAGGCUGGAAUGAUAGGUGUGGGGAGGGGCAUGUACAUCUCCCCACACCAGAGCAGGAGAGGAAGGAGUUAAUUCCCUGCAAGGACGCUUUGGUGAUUGGAGCAAGAGUUUCCACCUGGACUCUGCAGGGCAGGUAUUUAAAGCAGCAGGGGAAGCAAACAGGCUGAGGGAAGGAAGGCUCCUCCAAAGGAAGAGGAAUUGAGCCAGGUGCUUGCCAGUGCCUGCCUGACAGCAAAGGGAGGAGAACUCGUGGACCAGCCUGUUUUCUCUCUGCACCAGCUGCUCUCAGAUAAGAUUUGACACCUUAUUUUCCUUUCAGGAGUGAAAGGAGCCUGUCAGGGACUUGGCAGCAGCUGCUUCCCAAUGUGACACCUGCUGCUGUAAGGUCUGCAGUAUAGACACAGCCUCAGUCUUAUCCUGUCUAGGGGUUGCUUGCGUGUCGGACAGCGAAUCUUCAGCACAAAGCAAACUUGGAUCAGAUAUGCAGUGAGCUCCUGCCAGCAGGUUCACGCCCAAAUGGCUACGCUCUAGCCUGAACUGCUGCUGCGAAUCCUGUGAUAAGCCAGCUAGCCCGGUACAUAGUCUAAUGCUUGGUGCAGUCUAAGUGUUUAGAGACGAGGGAGCUUGUCUGUAAUGAAGAUGUGAGACAUUCCUCAUCCUUCUACUUUUGCUACUGCCGAAGUGAUCGUUCAGCUUUAAGUGCCUGAUACAGCUGUGCUUCUGAAGUGCUGGCUUUGUCACUGUGUGCUGGAACGAACUGUACAGAGGGCUUAAUGACUUGAUGCAUCCUGCAGAUGUUGGCAGCUAUCCCUGGAGUGCCUGGAACAUAGCUGCCCUUCAAGGUGUUUUUCGGAGAGGAGCGGUUGUGUGCUCUCUUUUACUCUGCUUUAUGAGAGUGUGUCGUCUUUUGAAUGCCAUCCAAGCUCCAGCACUUAACAGUGUGAGAAGGUAUUGCAGGAAGAGACCCUAGGAAAAAAACAGCAUUAGCAAUCUGCUUUUCCAAAGCUUCUCUUGGCAGGUGACUGUGAAACUGCACAUGUUCUAGAGAUUGAUAAAGGCUUCUUCCCCUCCUGGCUUCAGCUGUAGGAGGAAAAAUCCCCUGUGUGUUAAGUCCAUACAGAACUGUAUGUGCCCUCCACUCAAAGCAACUGAGCCAUCUCCCUGUGAGUGUCCAUCUUAGAAAUGAUCGGGAAUUUACUUAUGGGUUUUUUUCCCCCUUCAAAAUUUUUUGCCAUAAGUUUUUUGGGUUUUGUGGUUUUGGUUAGUCCAAAUUUGGGGUGUGGGGGAAUGUCUUUUUAGCAACCAAAAAAUUUAAAAAAACCAAAAACCUUGAGUACUUUUGACAACCAAAGCUUUAUUUUUGAUGAAAUUCCCAAGGGGUUGCAUGUGGAGGCUUUUUGUUUUUCUGUUGAGGGGGAAAAUUUCAACUGGCUCUCCUCCACCUGCCUCUGUUCUCUCUGGCUCCAGUUAGUCUUUCAUUUUUGCCAAUGUAACUGAGCUGCGUUUCCAUCAAACUCUCUCUCUUCAGAGUAGCAUCUCCUAGGUGCUAGAUGUCUUUCAAAUAGUCAAGUGUCCCUGCUCCAAAGAGCUGCCAGCCUUGGAAUAAACAGAUACAAGGCAGUUAGUGGCAGGAGAACAGCCAACUCUACAAGUCAGUCUGAUUCACUGUAAACAGCAUGGCAGAAAGAAGGUGUGACUGGGUAUAUCAGACUGAGGCCCCCUGCCUGGAGGCUUCGUGUCCCCUGCCACAACCUGCCCCAAAAAAGGGCAGUGAAGAGAGUCCUCCAAGCUGCCUAGAGUGCCUGUGUGGAAAUGGUAAGCAAUCACUUUAAACUGCAGGGUUUGUUUUGUUUUGUGGGGGGUUUUUUUUGGUUUUUUUUCCCCAUUUAUCCAGCUUGCAGGCUACGGGGCUUUGUAGGGAAGCAUGAUCUGGGCCUAGCAGCAGUCUGUGGAGAGUCAGUAGAGAGUAAGAUGGGGUGAGUUGUGCAUUAGGGAGCAGCCUGUUUUGUCUCUCCCUGUUUUGAAGUUCUAGCACUUUAUCUCCUAGAAUUCAGAAUGAUAACAUAACAUCAUCUUGCACCUUCCAGCAGGAGUAGUUUAGGGUUUUUUUUAACUUAGCACCCCCAAGGGGUGCUGAGCCUCCAACACUCAGAAUUCCUGAAAGUCAAGCUCUAGAUGUCUUCAGUUGGAUACCCAAGAUUAGAGGCCAUGUUUGAAAACCUGACCUUUUUUGGCCCUUUUUAUAACCUUCAGCCUUUUAAGGGAAAGCUUAGUCACUUAAAGGAAACAUCUCUGGAGCAGGAGCAAGGUAGAAUGUUUGAAGUCUCUUGUACAAACUGGUAGCUGUGGUAGGAUUUUUAAAAAGCCUAAACUCUUCCCCUUGCCUUCAGUGAGGGAAGAGUUAGGCUGAUGCUGACUAUUUCUGAAAAUCCCCUGUUUGCUGUCUUGCUCUUUAAUUUUUUUUUUCUUCUUUUCUCCUCUUCCUCUCCCCCCCGCUCAUGCCAAUCACACACAGACUUUAGGGAUUGUUAAGGUUUGGACCAAAGUCAUUCUACACACACUAAGAAUCAUAAGCUGGUCAAGCUACUACUGUCAACGUGCAGGACAGAAAGGCACAGCUUACUGAGAACUGCCGUGAAGCCAAAAUUGCGGAUAUGGGGUGGGGAAGGGCACCUGGAGCUCUUCUGCGUUGUAUUAAACAAAGCACCAUUUACAGCCUCGGCUGGAAGAUGGAAGCAGAGACUUGUUUUCCGUUCACGUUCUUAUGCCUUACUCGUUGCCACAGUAUUUGAGUCCUGUUGGGAAAGCUCUUGGAGAUUCAUGAGGUUACAUAAGCUAGUGUCUGUAAGACCCAAUGUGCAUGUUUCAUGUCGAAUUGGUGACUGCUCUAGUCUCAGGAAGAAGAGACUUGUUCCUUCCCUCUUUCCCCCCUGGUAAAAGUAAUUUUAGGCUAAUUCUAAUUAACUUUGUGUGACUGCAUCAGAAUCUUUGGGGUGGUUUCCCUCCUCCACAGAAGGAGGAAAGAGAUCAGCAAAGAUCCAGGCUGAGAAACGUUAACCUGAGGAAGUACUGGUGUUACACGUACUUGCUAACGCUUGUAAUUUAUCACUUUUCUGGCCAUUAUCCACUCCUUGUGAAAGGUGGAAGAAAAGUGAUGAUUAAGGAUCUGAUUCAAAUUCAAUAAGCUCUUAGGAAAGGCUCCUAUUGACUGCAGUGGGCUUUGGCUCAAGCUAGCUGGAGAGCCAGUGUAAGGAAUAUCACUAGCUGUAGCUUAGCUAUGCUGGGCAGAUACCUUGCAUUCAGGUACAGAAGCAGGUUUUCUGGCCAAACUCUUUUCUAACAAGGCACCCACUCAAAAGCCUCAACAUAGCAUCUGUUUGCAGCUUUGACCCCAUCCCUCUUUCCUCACAGGGGGACCAGAUCAAGGAAGGCAAAACGGUUACUGUUAGCUAGUGCUGCUUUAACAAGUCUGAGUGUGUCUUCAGCAAAUGUCUCUUCACCUCCUGGUAAGAUGUGUUGAAAGACAGAGAGAGGCAGGCAGGCAGCUACAAUGUUGUAUGGUUUUUAAACAUUACUUUUUUUUAUUUAUUUUAAGCAGUAACUGAGGAACUGGCAUGUGUUACCUAAGAAACUGUCUUGUGUCCUUCAAAUUAGAAUGCAGAGGGCAGUGUUCCCCUCCUCCCCCCCAAACUCUUGACAUCUGACUCCCCUGCUUUGUGGUGGUAAAGGCCUAAUCUGUGGUCCAUUGUUCCGAGCAGAUUGUACAGCUUUUCACAAUAUACUUCCUCUCCUUUCUUUCAGGCUGUCCUGUAGGGUGAUCCUGUUCAGUGUAUUAAAGUUAGUGCUGGCAUCUGAUCACACCCAUGGAAAUGGAUAGAUCAGUUCACACCUCUCAGAUAUUAUUUCAGGUAUUCUCUGCGUUGGUUACACUCAUGUUACAUUUACAAGAUUUUCUUUGCAAAGAUAACAGCUAGAGCCUCAUGCUUCUGAUGAAAGUUGACUCUGAAGAAGACUUGAGGCCAGUUCAUUCCUCCCCAGUUUGGCCUUUGCCCCCAAUCCUCUUUAGGAAGUGAUGGGUUUUCCAAAAGGGGAUAACACUGCAACUCAGUGCCAACUGGUUUUACAAUGCUAGCUGCAGAUGGAGUUUCUGACUUGGCUUGCCAUGGUCACGUUCAUGGUAAAUCCACUUCCAGCAACGACCCUCGCUUCCCACUAGUGAUUAUGCUGCUUUCUAAAAAGUAAUUCUAACUACACUUUUGUACCUCCCCUGUCCCCAUCUGAAUCCUGCAAUGACAGCCCUACACUUGCUGCCCGUUAGGGACUUUGGUUUAAAUACACUCCCCCCCCCUCCCCUUGCCCCUUUUAGUGGCAUGAAUUUUAAUUUGACAUCUGAGAGUUAGGUCUUUGGCCUCCUGAUUACAUGCCCAUUUGUACGAGCUUUAGGUCUAGUUAAUGUAAUAAAAUUGCCUGGGCUGAAGAGAUUUAAUACUUUCACACAUUUUAUCACUGACAGUAACAAAUAAAGCAGUUAUGUCUCUGGCUUCUUUUAUUAUUUUUAAUGUGCUGGCUUUUUUGUUACUGGAAAUUUUAAUUAUAAUGGAAUGUGUCACUUUUCUAAAAAAUGUACCCAUAGCAACAAGAACAUCUACAUUAUUACAGGCUGAUCACUUCCCUACAAGAGUUGCAUCACGUGCUUUUCAGAAACAGUCCCACAGGUGUGGGGUUUUAAUAGUGUUUUUUUCCCCUUUUUUGC